ACUAUGUAUGUGUACCUGCUGUAAAUAUGGACAAAAAGCAACAUAUGUCGGCUUUAGGUGGGCUUGACUAAAUAUCAAAUUGCCCAUAAAGGUCCUACAUACAUGA
rfam:Lupinus angustifolius cultivar Tanjil contig_17005, whole genome shotgun sequence.